AACUCUCUCACAUUGGCAGUUAAACUCUUCAAUGGCUGAAUAACAAGAACAAACCCAGUCAAAAUUGCCCAAUGGAGCCUAAGGUUUAAACAGAAACCUGCUGUGAAAACAUCAGAAGAAUCAUGCCUGGUCACCGUAGGGGAAGGAGCCUCUCUGAGGGGCUGAUGCUGGAGGAAUCAGAAAAAGGAGGAUUGGUCAUCUCCAGCGUUAUCGGUGGCUCUCCUGGCAAUCACGGGCUCAAAGAAGGAGAUGAAAUUGUGGGUGCCACAAUCAACUUUGACCAACUUUCGAAAGACGAUGUGUUGAAAAUACUGAAGCUGAUGGAUGAUAAUGG